UCAGUAAGGUGUUGAGACCCCACAUGCCAGGAAAAUGCCCCCCACAGGAUUCAGACCUGUAACGGUCUCUCGGUGUAUUCCACAUGCACUCAUUUAUUCAAUUUUUUCCUUCAAUUUGUCACCUGUACAUACAUACAGUACUGUACAAAAAGUGUUAGGCACAUGUAAAAUUCUGUAAAACACAUACGUUUCUAAAUGUGAAAUAAGUACCAAGAAGGAACAUUUUCUUAAUUCACCUCUUAUAUCCAGAGUGGCAGGUGAAAUAUUUGCAGUGAUCCCUGCACAAGGUGGACCGUCUCCACAAUUUAUGCAGGAGUGGUGUUACCACUAUCUGGUGACCGGGACCCUGAAGGACCUAACAAAGGAUAGUGUACAUGACACAGAGUUGUCCCCUUUAUUCAUAACGAUCGAAGAUGCCUUUGACCUGUCACCCUACGCUGAAGGAAUCCUCAACUGUGGCUACACAGGCCCCAUCAACUUGGAUCACAAGGGGAGCAUAAUAAGAUGGGAAAGUGAGCCUGCCUGUGGCUAAAGACAAUGAAGAGAAAGAAGAAUGGAGAAUCACUUUCUGUUCCCAGUGUAAUGCAGUGGCUGACAGUGCAGACACCACAGCCCAUCUGGGAGAUUAUGAUGCAUUUCAAUCAAACAUUGAAACAGCAAUCAAACACGGUGCAAGAUUUGAUAGAGUGUAGCUGAAAAACUACUCAAGUUAACUGACUGAUAAACCACAUACAGUACAUUAUGUUCCUGUGAAGAGAAGCAGUCAUCUUUCUUGCUUUAUUUUUGGAUUAAUUCUUAAAUAUAUGCCCUUGACAACUGUGAUUUCGAAAAUGUUUUUUAUUAACCUCUUACUACUCAGAGCAUUCAUAGAAGGAUGGUAGACUGCAGCGAUAGCUCAGAGGUCUAAACGCUGGACGGAUGGACGGAUGGAUGGACGGAUGGAUGGACGGAUGGAUGGAUGGAUGGAUGAAUGGAUGGAUGAAUGGACUAUUGGAAAUAAUAGUCAGGGGGACUGAUAUAGUAUUUGGGCUUUUUGCAUUAUGUUUUAUACACUGUUAUUAGACUAUACCUUCGAACACCAAAACCUUAGGGGGCUCCAUUGCUAGUAAAGAGUGUUACACUGUAUCAACAAUAUGUGUUUUUGUAUCAUCCUAGUCCAUGGGAAUUAUGUAAAUGAAAUUACAUACAAUUCACUCAUUUUCUGGUCCUUGCCAACAUAGUGUUCCAGAUGUACUGCAACUACUGUAGGGUAUCAUCGGUUGUCUCCCCUUUAAUAUGUGAUUAUUUCUGUUUUUAUUCUUUAUUUUGUUUAACAAGUGCCUGAAGCUGUUCUAUAUACAGUAGUGUUCUAUAUACAGACUUCAUUUUAGUAUAGUGUACACCAAGUGGUAUAUAAUAAUAAAGUAUAUAAACAUUAUCCAAAUGCAGUGUAAUAGACCAAUAUAUCUCCGGGCUUGACGUCUCUAUUAUUGAGAGAUUCUUAAAGCUAGCAUUAUACAUAAGCAAAGGUGCUAGGUCUGUCUUUAUGUUAUUAAUUUGUAGUACUCUAUCCACCAGAGUCACUGCUUAGUCAGUGGUCUCCAACUUAACCUCUGGAGCUCAGAAAUGAUGAAGAUAACACUGAGAGACAGUGCCACUCUGUUAGACUGGAAUUUGGUGCUGAUGUACAGUAAUACUGUACACAUCCUUUUGAUUACCCAAGGUUAUGUUAUUUGUAUAAGGUGAGGGAUGGAAGGUUUUAUUAAAUAUACCUUUAAUUUUUCAGUUGCUGCUGCAGUUGCUCAUUUUUAUAUUUUGACACAACAAAGUUCUGUAUUUGUGGAUGUACUGUAUUGGUGUUUACAGAGUUGUACUAACCACCGUUCACUGAGCUCUAUGUCACUGUAGCAUUGUUAUGUCACUGCCUGUUUUCAUGUUAAGAAACUGGAUGGCAUGUACACUAACUGUAAAGGUGACAGCUCAGUAAAUGAUAUGGGGAGAGAAAGUCACCUCAGGAGCCAUAUUACACCUAUGGAGUCUUGGACUCUUCUGUAACUGGAUAGUGUUUUGUCAUGGCUUUCGGAAGGAUCGGACCAAUACGCAGCGUGAUCGUAGUUCCGCAUCUUUAUUUCAAUAGUGAAACUAAUGCUAUAAACAAACUUGGAAUACAAAAAUAAGAAAGCCGUGACGCAGAGCAGGCAUACACUACUUCACAAAAUGAAUCACCCACAAACAACAUGCAGAAACACCCCUACUAAAUAUGACCUCCAAUUAGAGGCAACGAGGACCAGCUGCCUCCAAUUGAAGGUCAACCCA